AUGCCACUGGGAGAACUCCCGGCGGCCCGGCCCGGAGAGCAAGGGCCUCAGGGCAGUGCUGGCUGCCGCAGCCACAUCUGUGGGGAGCACCUGUCCCUCCCCACCUGCCUCCUCCCUCCCCCACCCAGCCUGCCACGGCUCCCUAACCCUGACCUGCAGGGCAGACAGAGCCCCAGGCAGCAGCCCCCGGGUCAGGACAGACGGGGAGGCCAGGGCCACCUUUCCCCUCCCGGGAACAGCGCGACACCCCACGCACACAGCCAGUUUCCUGGGGUCCAGGGAAGUCCCUGCUUCUGCUUCAGGGCCCCGCCCGGGAAGGGGCAAGUGGGUGCAGCCAGGUCCUCGGGCUGCUUCGAGUCACAGCAGGCAGGGAAGGGCUCAGUGAGAGACAGCCAGGCCGUGCAGCCCCGGGGAGCGCGGCGAGGGCUGAGCCUGUCCAUCACCGGUCCCUCGGGGUCACCUGCCACUCCGUCCUGUGGCCCGGGCCACAGCAGUCGCACACCUCACUUCAGUAACCACUCACACGUCUGCCUGAGCCAGCUCCUGGCUACUCCUCCGCUGGCGCACCCUCCUCGCCACGCCAACCAGCGCCAGGAGCCGACCCGAGGUACUGGGGAGGUCCAUGUCACUUCUCAGUUGCGCGUUGCCACAGCUCUCGGCUGGCACACUGACAGGCACACAGAGAACGGCACAGAACAGCCCAAGUGCAGGCCCUCGGUACCAGGCGGCUCUGCGGGCAGCCAGCCCGGGGUGUGUCUGGCAGCACCGGGACCUGCGGCUGGCGCGGUGGCCGAUGGGCAAGACUGAGAAGCAGGCACAGCAGUGGCUGCCGGGGGCUUCGGGUGGGGGAGGGAAGACAAGGAAGACGACUUCCCCCAGGGUGCUCAGGGCUCCCCCAGACUCUGGGCAGAGUCGCCCCCAAACAGUGAGGCGUGCGUGGAGAUUAAGCCAGCUCUUAACUCUGACAGGUCGCUCAAGUUCAGGGACAAGGCUAGUUUGCCAGCAAUGCCUCUUCACUCUUUAAUUAAAAUCUUUUAUUAACUGCCAAGCCAAUGCCUUCCCAGGGACAGACAUGCUAAUGAGGGCACUGGCACCUGUCCUGACAGGCAGCCGUCCAGGGAGUCUGGGGUGCUCUCGGGAGAGGGGACCAGGCCCCGCAGGUACCUGUCCCUGGUUCUGCGGGACAGGCCAUCUGUCCGAAGGUCCCUGCCGCCCCCAGCCAACCCCCUGCAGGCCUGCACAACAUAUCAUGGGGGCCGCGAUGCCCUCCAGCUGGAUGGGCAGGGCUCUGGCCCGGGGGGGCUCCAGCUUGGUCUCUCUGUCCCUGUCAGCUCAGCGAGGCCACGGGAUGCCCACAGGAGCCACACCUGUGCCCCAGGGGUCAUUAGCACCCACAGGGAGCAGGCCCCGCCCAGGCCCAGCCCCUCCGGCCACUGGGGGCAGCUCUGGUGAGCCUGCCUCAGCCCAGGUGGCCAAGGACACCAGCCUGUGACUGCUCACGUGGACAGCAUGCAGCCUGCAUGCGACCAACGACACGGCCCUUGACCCGGGACCCCAGCCUGGCCAUGAGGAAGAGCUGGGCAGGGCCCACCGGGAGGCUUCCUCCUGACCAGCACCCCACGGUCAAGCUCACCACGGCCUGGGCCUGGGACACUGUGCAGCCCAGCAGGGCCUCGAGACAACCACAGCCACGUGGGGUCCCAGCACGGGCAGGCGAGAGCCAGGGUGCCGGCACUGCUGCCGUGAUGCGUCCCACUGUCAAUCACAGGUGACUCGGAGAUGCCGAGGGAAACAGGCAGAACGCAAU
rnacentral:lncRNA from 1 species